rnacentral:snRNA from 1 species
GUGUGUAUGGCAGUACUUAUUCUAAAACUGGAACGAUACAGAGAAGAUUAACAUGGCCCCUGCACAAGGAUGACACUCAAAUUCGUGAAGCGUUCCAUAUUUUU